rnacentral:rRNA from 1 species
ACGGGAGGCAGCAGUGAGGAAUAUUGGUCAAUGGGCGGAAGCCUGAACCAGCCAAGUCGCGUGAAGGAUGAAGGUAUUAUGUAUUGUAAACUUCUUUAGCAGUGGAGUAAUAAGGAGGAUGUAUCCUCUGAUGCAAGUGCACUGAGAAUAAGGAUCGGCUAACUCCGUGCCAGCAGCCGCGGUAAUACGGAGGACCCGAGCGUUAUCCGGAUUUAUUGGGUUUAAAGGGUGCGCAGGCGGAGGAUUAAGUCAGCGGUGAAAUUUUCAUGCUCAACAUGAAAACUGCCAUUGAUACUGGUCCCCUUGAGAGAUGUCGAGGAGGGCGGAAUGUGAUGUGUAGCGGUGAAAUGCUUAGAUAUGUCACAGAACACCGAUUGCGAAGGCAGCUGUCCAGAGAUCUUCUGACGCUCAGGCACGAAAGCAUGGGUAUCAAACAGGAUUAGAUACCCUGGUA